rnacentral:rRNA from 1 species
AAUGUUAAUUNGGUUCGGCCACUUUUUAGAGGGAAGAACUGGCCCGGGUGACAAACCGGAGGAAGUGUGGGGGAUGAGNGUCAAGUCAUCAUUGGCCCUUACGGGCCUGGGCUACACACGUGCUACAAUGGUCGGUACAGAGGGUUGCCAAGCCGCGAGGUGGAGCUAAUCCCAUAAAACCGAUCGUAGUCCGGAUCGCAGUCUGCAACUCGACUGCGUGAAGUCGGAAUCGCUAGUAAUCGCGAAUCAGAAUGUCGCGGUGAAUACGUUCCCGGGCCUUGUACACACCGCCCGUGAAUCACUAGUGAAUUCGCGGC